ACGCGAAGAACCUUACCCAGGCUUGAACAGCGAGUGACCAUCGACGAAAGUUGACUUCCGCAAGGACACUCGUAGAGGUGCUGCAUGGCUGUCGUCAGCUCGUGUCGUGAGAUGUUGGGUUAAGUCCCGCAACGAGCGCAACCCUUGUCUGCUGUUGCCAUCAGGUUAUGCUGGGCACUCUGCAGAGACUGCCGGUGAUAAACCGGAGGAAGGUGGGGAUGACGUCAAGUCAGCAUGGCCUUUAUGUCUGGGGCUACACACGUGCUACAAUGGCCGAUACAAACCGUCGCAAAACCGCAAGGUGGAGCUAAUCGGAGAAAGUCGGUCUCAGUUCGGAUUGUAGGCUGCAACUCGCCUGCAUGAAGUUGGAAUCGCUAGUAAUCGCGGAUCAGCACGCCGCGGUGAAUACGUUCCCGGGCCUUGUA
rnacentral:rRNA from 1 species